GAUGAACGCUGGCGGCGUGCCUAAUACAUGCAAGUCGAACGCUGGAAAUCUAGCUUGCUAGAUUGAAGGAGUGGCGAACGGGUGAGUAAUACAUAAGCAACCUACCCACGAAGACUGGGAUAAUCUCUGGAAACGGGGACUAAUACCGGAUAGGUAAUCGGAAGGCAUCUUCUGAUUAUUAAAGGUUAAAAACACUGGUGGAUGGGCUUAUGGCGCAUUAGUUAGUUGGUGAGGUAACGGCCCACCAAGACGAUGAUGCGUAGCCGGCCUGCGAGGGUGAACGGCCACAUUGGGACUGAGACACGGCCCAGAGUACUACGGGAGGCAGCAGUAGGGAAUUGUCGGCAAUGGGGGAAACCCUGACCGAGCAACGCCGCGUGAGUGAUGACGGCCUUCGGGUUGUAAAGCUCUGUUGUAAGGGAAGAACGGUAGAUAGAGAAUAUCUAAAUGACGGUACCUUACCAGAAAGCCACGGCUAACUACGUG
rnacentral:rRNA from 1 species